rnacentral:rRNA from 1 species
ACCCGCACAAGCGGUGGAUGAUGUGGAUUAAUUCGAUGCAACGCGAAGAACCUUACCUACCCUUGACAUGUCCGGAACUUGCCAGAGAUGGCUUGGUGCCCGAAAGGGAAUCGGAACACAGGUGCUGCAUGGCUGUCGUCAGCUCGUGUCGUGAGAUGUUGGGUUAAGUCCCGCAACGAGCGCAACCCUUAUCAUUAGUUGCUACGCAAGGGCACUCUAAUGGGACUGCCGGUGACAAACCGGAGGAAGGUGGGGAUGACGUCAAGUCCUCAUGGCCCUUAUAGGUGGGGCUACACACGUCAUACAAUGGCCGGUACAGAGGGUAGCCAACCCGCGAGGGGGAGCCAAUCCCACAAAGCCGGUCGUAGUCCGGAUCGCAGUCUGCAACUCGACUGCGUGAAGUCGGAAUCGCUAGUAAUCGCGGAUCAGCAUGUCGCGGUGAAUACGUUCCCGGGCCUU